UACGGAGGGAGCUAGCGUUGUUCGGAAUUACUGGGCGUAAAGCGCACGUAGGCGGCUUUGUAAGUUAGGGGUGAAAGCCUGGAGCUCAACUUCAGAAUUGCCCUUAAGACUGCAUCGCUUGAAUCCAGGAGAGGUGAGUGGAAUUCCGAGUGUAGAGGUGAAAUUCGUAGAUAUUCGGAAGAACACCAGUGGCGAAGGCGACUCACUGGACACGUAUUGACGCUGAGGUGCGAAAGCGUGGGGAGCAAACAGG
rnacentral:rRNA from 1 species